rnacentral:rRNA from 1 species
AUCCAGACUCCUACGGGAGGCAGCAGUGAGGAAUAUUGGUCAAUGGGCGCGAGCCUGAACCAGCCAAGUCGCGUGAGGGAGGACGGCCCUACGGGUUGUAAACCUCUUUUGCCGGGGAGCAACGGGCGUCACGUGUGGCGCCACUGAGAGUACCCGGAGAAAAAGCAUCGGCUAACUCCGUGCCAGCAGCCGCGGUAAUACGGAGGAUGCGAGCGUUAUCCGGAUUUAUUGGGUUUAAAGGGUGCGUAGGCGGUCAGGUAAGUUAGAGGUGAAAGCUCGAUGCUCAACAUCGAAACUGCCUCUGAUACUGUCUGACUAGAGUGUAGUUGCGGAAGGCGGAAUGUGUGGUGUAGCGGUGAAAUGCUUAGAUAUCACACAGAACACCGAUUGCGAAGGCAGCUUUCCAAGCUAUUACUGACGCUGAGGCACGAAAGCGUGGGGAGCGAACAGGAUUAGAUACCCCAGUAC